GAUGAAGAACGUAGCGAAAUGCGAUAAGUAGUGUGAAUUGCAGAAUUCAGUGAAUCAUCGAAUCUUUGAACGCACAUUGCGCCCUUUGGUAUUCCUUAGGGCAUGCCUGUUCGAGCGUCAUUUAAACCUUCAAGCUCAGCUUGGUGUUGGGUGACUGUCCGCUUCACCGCGGACUCGCCUCAAAAUUAUUGGCGGCCGGUACAUUGGCUCUCGAGCGCAGCAGAAACGCGUAACUCGAGGUCCUCGUGCCGGCUCCCAGAAGCUAUCUUCACAAUUUUGACCUCGGAUCAGGUAGGGAUACCCGCUGAACUUAAGCAUAUCAAUAAGCGGAGGA
rnacentral:misc_RNA from 1 species